rnacentral:rRNA from 1 species
UACGUAGGCAGCAAGCGUUGUUCGGAGUUACUGGGCGUAAAGAGUGCGUAGGCGGUUUCGCAAGUUUGGUGUGAAAUCUCCCGGCUUAACUGGGAGGGUGCGCCGAAAACUGCGGGGCUGGAGUGUGGGAGAGGUAGGCGGAAUUCCUGGUGUAGCGGUGAAAUGCGUAGAUAUCAGGAGGAACACCGGUGGUGUAGACGGCUCACUGGACCGUAACUGACGCUGAGACACGAAAGCGUGGGUAGCAAACAGG